rnacentral:tRNA from 7 species
GGAGGUGUGGCUGAGUGGUUGAAGGCGCCGCUCUCGAAAAGCGGUGUCGCCGACAAGGCGACCGGAGGUUCGAAUCCUCCCACCUCCG